rnacentral:rRNA from 1 species
GUGCCAGCCGCCGCGGUAAUACCGGCAGCCCGAGUGAUGGCCGAUAUUAUUGGGCCUAAAGCGUCCGUAGCUGGCCGAACAAGUCCGUCGGGACAUCCACGUGCUUAACGCGUGGGCGACCGGCGGAAACUGUCCGGCUUGGGGCCGGAGGACCCGAGGGGUACGUCCGGGGUAGGAGUGAAAUCCCGUAAUCCUGGACGGACCGCCGGUGGCGAAAGCACCUUGGAAGGACGGAUCCGACAGUGAGGGACGAAAGCUAGGGUCUCGAACCGGAUUAGAAACCCAGUAGUCC